GGGCCGGUAGAUCAGGCUGGUAGAUCGCCACCUUGGCAUGGUGGAGGCCUCGGGUUCGAAUCCCGACCGGUCCA
rnacentral:tRNA from 1 species